GCGGGUGUGGUGUAUGGAACAUAGCUGCAGGUAGUGAUGAGGCACCAAACCUCAUGUAGCUAAUCCGGGUUCGAUUCCCGGCACCCGCA